UCCCUCGCUCUCCCUCCCUUCGGGUGCCCCGGGUUGGGGCCGGGCUAUUUAUACAGCUUGGCGCUGCCGUCACGGAGAGCGGGCUCGGCUGACGGGGGAUGCUGACGCUCUUGGCUGUCGGGAGCCUGGCUUGCUGGCGGCUUCGCCGGGGCGGCCAUCAUGGGCCCUCUUUAGGUGCCGCGGCGAGCGGGGCUCGGAAAGAAAGAGGAGGAGGAGGAGGAAGAAGACGACGAAAAGCCACCGGCAUUCGUGGGAGCGGGGGGGGGAACCUCUUGCCCUUAGGGGGUGGUGGUGGCCUGACCGCUUGCCCCGGGGAGGGACGCGAGGGCGGAGGAGGCCAGGAGUGCCGUAGCUUCACCACAAGGAGGGCGAGCACGCGGAGUAUUCGCGUUGCAAAGGAGCCACACUCCUGGAGCCCCAGAAACAGAAUGACAACAGUGAUAUUUCUGCCCUAGUGGGCAGGAGAGUGGUAUCUAAAUACUUAAAUAAUUUUAUCUAAUCAAAACUAAUCCAAGUUUACAAAAAGGAGCUAAGUCUUAGAAGUCAGAAAGGUAUGUAUAUUUCAAACCAAACUUGUUCACUGGCAAAUAAAUCUCUAUGUAAAAUGUCUAGAUCCUGAUUCAAAACCUUUCCUGUCAGUAGAUUUCAGAUAGUGUUCCUAAGACAAAUAUUUGUUAGAAUAGCAUCCCUAUCAUGUUUGUUUCCGUUAUCCAUGUUUGCCACAGCAUUUGUAUGUUAAAGUACAGUGAGAAGGAAAAUACGGCUCAUUCAUGAAAGGACUGUUUGGCAGAAUUCAAAAUCUAUAGGAAGCAUUUUUCCCAUAGCUGUGCUCAAUCACAUUAAUGGAGCGUGAAGCAGAGUUACCUGUAAGUGUUGCAGUUCCUAGGAAUUUCUGGCAUUCUGUCUGAAAGAGGGAGAAUGAUGGUAAAUAGUAUAAGAAUAAGGGCAUUUCAAUUAUUCAUAUGCUGCUGCACAUUCACUUCCAUUUGUAUUUUGAAAACAUACAGUUCCUGCUUCCCCAGAACAUAACGGCUGCAAUGAUAUACCGUGUGCACUUUUCACAAAACCAACCUGAUAAUUUAUUUCAAGGAAUGCAGUUGAAUUUGUUCAUUCUUCUAGGAUAUUAGACUUUGCUGAAACAGGAUAUUCAUGCUUAGCACAGUGCAUGCCUAUAGCUGAUGUCCCAAUAUGUUUGGGGAAUUUUAGAUGCUGAAUUCUGAUAGGGAAAACUGUUAAUCAAAAACUAGGCGCUACACCCUUAAGGGCUUUUUGGAGGGGGGAGCUACUUUAUUGAUAUAAAAUAGGUAUAUCAUUUCAGAUUCUGUGUUGCCGUCAUAGCUGACUGUGGAAAAACUAUUUAACAUUCACUGAUAUAAAAAACCUGAAGCAAUGAUGUUUAAGUUCAUGGGCCAGUCUAUUAUUUAUUUACUUAUUCAAUGUGUAUAACACCCCAUUAGUGCAAGCACUACACUAGGGAGUUUAUACUAGAAUAAAAUUUACAAACCCUCAGUCUGUUCUUUACGAUGUAGCCAUAUGUAAUGUUAGUCUAACAAUCUUUUCUGCAUUUCAAAGGAUCCAUAGGAAGUGAUGCCCUGACCCUUCUCAUCACCACCUUCUUUGUUGUGGAGGCUGUUGAGGUAACCUAACAAGUGGCUUUGGUUUAAUAUGUAGUUUAUUUGCUUUGCAUUUAGUAAUAAUUUUGGGUGAACUUUUGCAACUACACUGAACCAAUAAAAACCUUCUAAAGAGCUCUGAUGUAUUGUCUUCUGUUUAUAAAUGAAUGUCAUACAAGCAGGGUACAAUGGUGUGUCUUAAAAUGUGCUUAACCACUUGUGGAUCUAUACCAGUCUAUAUUUGAUGCUCCUGGCCUGGACAGAACUUUUUGUUAAUCAGAAGUAUUUUCUAUAAAUAAAAUUGAGAUGAGAAUCUAGUAACUGCUUUACUGUGGAACCAUCCAUGUUAAAGAAAUAGAAAAACAUAAUUAAUUGGAAAUACCUAACUAGCCAGGGAAAGGAGUACUAGGAUGAAUAGUUAUUGAUUUGGUAUGGACCUUAUAAGAUGUGGCUUCCAAUGUCCUGGGUGAGUUCAUUGUUUAUGGUUUUUAUCUUCCAAACUCACUAGAUAGUAAUGCUGAUGGCACAGUGGGAUCCACCUUUCAUCAGAAAGGAGGGGGGUCACCAACCACUGUAUUGUUGAUUCUAAGUGCAUAGGUUUACUUACAAGCAUUACUCUGAUUUCAUUACCACCACAGCUGCUGUCUUCCUGAUGCUGUAUUAAUAUUUCAACAUUCCUGUUUUUCAUUUUGCUAUAUUAGCUGUCUUAAUAAGUAAUUAGCAUCUUUUAAAAUGCAAUGUUGUAGAAUUCCCCCCUUCCAAUAUAACUGAAUAUAUUUGCAUAUAGUUUUUACUUCUACUUCUAAAAUUAAACUGUUGUAAAACAUUGUUCCAUGCAUAACCUAUUAGUUUGCAAUGUCCUAGGCAGCCUUUUCUGUACAUACAGUACAAUUUUCAGGUUUUUAGUUUUUGCUGAACCAUAAUGUGAAUUGUGGAAAUGCACCUCAUAGAGGAUGGCUAGCAUUUUCAGUUGUGCUCUAUAUGUUCAGUUGUGCUCUAUAUGUUCAAGUAUUUCACUACAAAAAUUCAGAAUUGUGCUAGGCCUAUAAAAUUGUUUGCAUUUAUUUAAUGUAUGCUUCUUUUUGAGGCAUGGAGCCAUGAAUGUUUGUUCUCUCCUCUUUUUUUUCACAUCAUUACUCUGAUGCUGCUUGAUUAGCUCCCUCCCCAGUCAUGAUUGGUAAUUAAAAUAGGCAUUAAAAUUAGUCACUUAGCAAUUUUGCUGUUCAAUUGGCAAUUAAAUUACUUAAUUGCAAUUAAAGUCCUAAUUUUAAUUGGCAAAAUGAUAGAUGUAGAUUUAAGAUAAUAUGUAUAAAUACUUUAAUAAGUGUCUAUAUAAGGAUUACUUAAUUACUCAACUUGAAGUUUAUGUUGUUAACUUCAGAACUUUAAAAUGAGCAAUGAAAUUUUAUAUUAUAUCUAUUCUAAAGGUAUGGCAAUCAGAUAUGCAAUGUGCCACUAUAGUGGCCCAGAUAUUAGUUACUUUAGUAAUGUAUAGAUGCAGCAUGGAAUAAGCAGCCUAACAGUUAGCAGAGCAUGGGAAUGUUUCUUAUAUAGUAGCACAAUUUAAAUCAACGGAGCUUACUCAGGAGUAAGCAUGUGCAGGAUAUAGGUCUUCGCCAAAGUCUGUUAAAUUUCUAAUUGAAAUGAGUGGCUGCUUUACUGAACAAACAGAACUUGUAAAUAUGGAUAAGAAAGCAUCAGAAUGCUGAAAACUUUUAGUAACGCUGUGCUGAUGUUGGCUAGCAUGGGUGAUUACAAUUCAAGCACCAUCAAAAUGCAGUAAGACAUAAAAUCUUCCAGCAAAUUUACUUCAUGUUGGCAUGAGCACAUACAAAGGAAAAAACAAGCUUUGUGGAAAUAGGAAAUUUAGGCAGAUGUGGGAUGGAGGGGGACAAGGAAUGAAGAAAACCUGCACCAAGCAAAAUAACUAUAAAAUAACUGUGGAAUAAUAGGAGCCUAUUCCUCAUUUGCAGCUAUUCAGCCAGCUUCCUCUUGAAACACAGUUUGAGUAUGAAUUUACAGUUCUCCUAAGUAUACUUUGAGAGAAAAGAUCGUAAGAGGAGACAUCCAGUGUGGGUUAAAAUGUAGACUUGGAAGUUACAAGCAGCUCCAUUUUUUGAAUAUGACACAGCAAUAAUCCUGAGGAAGCUUUAUGUUUAGUCUAAUAUGAAGCAAUCUCAGAUGCUUGAAUCAUCAUCAUCAUAGAACUGCAGAGCUGGAAGGGACCAUAUGGGUCACCAAGUCCAGCCCCUGUCAGGGAGUCACAGUGGGUCAUUGAACUCCCAACCUCUGGCUUCACAGCCAGAGACCUAAACCAUUGAGCUAUCAUCUGUUCUAUUAAAUGAAUGUUUUGUCACAUCUGCACAAUUCUGCUCCACAGAUUAAAA